UACGUAGGGGGCAAGCGUUGUCCGGAAUUAUUGGGCGUAAAGAGCGCGUAGGCGGUCCGAUAAGUCGACUGUGAAAGUCUAGGGCUCAACCCUGGAAAGCCGAUGGAUACUGCCGGGCUAGAGUUCGGAAGAGGCGAGUGGAAUUCCUGGUGUAGCGGUGGAAUGCGCAGAUAUCAGGAGGAACACCUAUAGCGAAGGCAGCUCGCUGGGACGACACUGACGCUGAGACGCGAAAGCGUGGGGAGCGAACAGG
rnacentral:rRNA from 1 species